UACGUAGGGGGCAAGCGUUGUCCGGAAUGAUUGGGCGUAAAGCGUCCGCAGGUGGCUAUGUAAGUCUGCUGUCAAAGCGUCUGGCUCAACCAGAUAAAGGCAGUGGAAACUACAUAGCUAGAGUAAGGUAGGGGUAGAGGGAAUUCCUGGUGUAGCGGUGAAAUGCGUAGAGAUCAGGAAGAACACCGGUGGCGAAAGCGCUCUGCUGGACCUUAACUGACACUGAGGGACGAAAGCUAGGGGAGCGAAUGGG
rnacentral:rRNA from 1 species